rnacentral:tRNA from 8 species
GCCAGCUUAGCUCAGUCGGUAGAGCAACGCACUCGUAACGCGUAGGUCGUAGGUUCGAUUCCUACAGCUGGCA